rnacentral:rRNA from 1 species
AGAGUUUGAUCCUGGCUCAGGACGAACGCUGGCGGCGUGCUUAACACAUGCAAGUCGAGCGAGAAAGCUACCUUCGGGUAGUAAGUAAAGCGGCGGACGGGUGAGUAACGCGUGAAUAAUCUGUCCCUAAGUUUAGGAUAACCUGAUGAAAGUCGGGCUAAUCCUGAAUGAUCUAUAAGAGUGGCGACACUCAUAUAGCAAAGGUGGUUUACCAUCGUUUAGGGAGGAGUUCGCGUCGGAUUAGCUAGCUGGUAAGGUAACGGCUUACCAGGGCGACGAUCCGUAGCUGGUCUGAGAGGACGAUCAGCCACACUGGGACUGAGACACGGCCCAGACUCCUACGGGAGGCAGCAGUGGGGAAUCUUUCGCAAUGGACGCAAGUCUGACGAAGCAACGCCGCGUGAGUGAGGAAGGCCCUUUGGGUUGUAAAGCUCUGUUGCCGGGGAAGAAAGUUAGUGUAAGGAAAUGUGCAUUAAUUGACGGUACCCGGUGGGGAAGCACUGGCUAACUACGUGCCAGCAGCCGCGGUAAUACGUAGAGUGCAAGCGUUGUCCGGAAUCAUUGGGCGUAAAGGGUACGCAGGCGGAUAUACAAGUCAAAUGUGAAAGGUGUAGGCUUAACCUACAGACUGCGUUUGAAACUGUAUAUCUUGAGAGCAGCAGAGGAAGGCGGAAUUCCUGGUGUAGUGGUGAAAUACGUAGAUAUCAGGAAGAACACCAGUGGCGAAGGCGGUCUUCUGGGCUGCAUCUGACGCUCAUGUACGAAAGCUGGGGUAGCGAACGGGAUUANAUACCCCGGUAGUCCCAGCUGUAAACGAUGGACACUAGG